GAGCCCGGCAUCGCAUGAUGUCAGCGGCAGACGGGAGAGUACACGUGGGAACGUGCCCUUCAGUUCGGAACAACCCAGGNAAACUUGGGCUGAUACCGGAUACGUCCGUAAGGAGAAAGAUUUAUCGCUGAAGGAUCGGCCCGCGUCUGAUUAGCUAGUUGGUGGGGUAAUGGCCCACCAAGGCGACGAUCAGUAGCUGGUCUGAGAGGAUGAUCAGCCUCACUGGGACUGAGACACGGCCCAGACUCCUACGGGAGGCAGCAGUGGGGAAUAUUGGACAAUGGGCGCAAGCCUGAUCCAGCCAUGCCGCGUGGGUGAUGAAGGCCCUAGGGUUGUAAAGCCCUUUCGGCGGGGAAGAUAAUGACGGUACCCGCAGAAGAAGCCCCGGCUAACUUCGUGCCAGCAGCCGCGGUAAU
rnacentral:rRNA from 1 species